rnacentral:rRNA from 1 species
CGAGCGGACAGAAGGGAGCUUGCUCCCGGAUGUUAGCGGCGGACGGGUGAGUAACACGUGGGUAACCUGCCUGUAAGACUGGGAUAACUCCGGGAAACCGGAGCUAAUACCGGAUAGUUCCUUGAACCGCAUGGUUCAAGGAUGAAAGACGGUUUCGGCUGUCACUUACAGAUGGACCCGCGGCGCAUUAGCUAGUUGGUGGGGUAAUGGCUCACCAAGGCGACGAUGCGUAGCCGACCUGAGAGGGUGAUCGGCCACACUGGGACUGAGACACGGCCCAGACUCCUACGGGAGGCAGCAGUAGGGAAUCUUCCGCAAUGGACGAAAGUCUGACGGAGCAACGCCGCGUGAGUGAUGAAGGUUUUCGGAUCGUAAAGCUCUGUUGUUAGGGAAGAACAAGUGCGAGAGUAACUGCUCGCACCUUGACGGUACCUAACCAGAAAGCCACGGCUAACUACGUGCCAGCAGCCGCGGUAAUACGUAGGUGGCAAGCGUUGUCCGGAAUUAUUGGGCGUAAAGGGCUCGCAGGCGGUUUCUUAAGUCUGAUGUGAAAGCCCCCGGCUCAACCGGGGAGGGUCAUUGGAAACUGGGAAACUUGAGUGCAGAAGAGGAGAGUGGAAUUCCACGUGUAGCGGUGAAAUGCGUAGAGAUGUGGAGGAACACCAGUGGCGAAGGCGACUCUCUGGUCUGUAACUGACGCUGAGGAGCGAAAGCGUGGGGAGCGAACAGGAUUAGAUACCCUGGUAGUCCACGCCGUAAACGAUGAGUGCUAAGUGUUAGGGGGGUUUUCCGCCCCCUUUAGUGCUGCAGCUAACGCAUUUAAGCACUUCCGCCCUGGGGGAG